rnacentral:rRNA from 1 species
AGGGGAAUAUUGCACAAUGGGCGCAAGCCUGAUGCAGCCAUGCCGCGUGGAUGAAGACGGCCUUCGGGUUGUAAAGUACUUUCAGUCGGGAGGAAGGUGGUAAGGUUAAUAACCUUAUCAAUUGACGUUACCGACAGAAGAAGCACCGGCUAACUCCGUGCCAGCAGCCGCGGUAAUACGGAAGGUGCAAGCGUUAAUCGGAAUUACUGGGCGUAAAGCGCACGCAGGCGGUUGAUUGAGUCAGAUGUGAAAGCCCCGGGCUUAACCCGGGAAUUGCAUCUGAUACUGGUCAGCUGGAGUAUUGUAGAGGGAGGAAGAAAUCCAUGUGGAGCAGUGAAAUGCGGAGAGAUGUGGAGGAAUACCGGUGGCGAGGGCGGCCCACUGGACAAAGACUGACGCUCAGGUGCGAAAGCGUGGGGAGCAAACAGG